rnacentral:rRNA from 1 species
GAUGAACGCUAGCUACAGGCUUAACACAUGCAAGUCGCGGGGCAGCAUGGGGGUUGCUUGCAAUCCCCGAUGGCGACCGGCGCACGGGUGAGUAACGCGUAUCCAACCUGCCCUUCACCACGGGAUAACCCGGCGAAAGUCGGACUAAUACCGUAUGUUGUCCAUUGACGGCAUCCGAUUUGGACGAAAGGCUUGGCGGUGAGGGAUGGGGAUGCGUCCGAUUAGCCAGACGGCGGGGUAACGGCCCACCGUGGCUACGAUCGGUAGGGGUUCUGAGAGGAAGGUCCCCCACACUGGAACUGAGACACGGUCCAGACUCCUACGGGAGGCAGCAGUGAGGAAUAUUGGUCAAUGGGCGUAAGCCUGAACCGGCCAAGUAGCGUGCAGGAUGACGGCCCUACGGGUUGUAAACUGCUUUUAUGCGGGGAUAAAGUGGCCCACGUGUGGGCUUUUGCAGGUACCGCAUGAAUAAGGACCGGCUAAUUCCGUG